rnacentral:sRNA from 1 species
CAUAGUGUGAGGAGCGAACCAGACAAGAGAACCGAGACGAAACACGGAAAGUCGUCGGUUCUCUUUCUG